rnacentral:lncRNA from 1 species
GCGCUCCAGGCCUCCUCCCGACCCUGCGCCGUGCCCAGCCCCUCUGCCCUCCUGUUACCCCGGGACCUCGGGCCGCCAGCCCCUUCCACGUGCAGGCUCCUGCUGCUCUCGCGGGGGCUUUUCGUGUGUCCCCCGAGAUGUCGAGGAAGCCAGGUGAGUUCCUCGCGACAGGCGGUGCCCUUUGCAGGAGGGGACAGGUAGCUGAGGCGUGGACAGAGUGACAGGCCAGGCUCAGGGGACACAGGUGAGACCCCCUCACUGGGCUGCCAGUUCCCGGGCUUGGGGCAUCCCAGUACGUCAGCGUCUGCGGCCUUACCUCCUGACACCUAAGGCCAGAGACAGAGCAGGCCCGCGCCCUGGGAGGUCCUGAUGUCCAGCCUGAAGAUUGAGGACAAAGCCACCACCUUUCACAAAAUGAGGCCAGACCACCUGCCUCCCUCCAGUCCCUGCGGCCUGGAGACGGAGUCAACAUUCUUAUCUGUGUUGGAUCUGAAUGUUCCUCCUUGCAAAGGAAACAAGGAGUGGACGUUCAGGCUGAUGGCCAGCUUCAAAGAUCGGGGCCUUUGAUUCCCAUCACUGGGAAGAAAGCCCUUCAGACAAGCCCCCCCAGGCUGCAGGUGCAUGGGGACCUUGAAGAACCCGUCCCCAUGGUCCCACGUCCAUGUGUCUCGAGACCUGUCGCAUCCUCGCUGAAACUCAAGAAUGUGAAACAGGUGAAGGUGUGUUUUGACGCAUUAGCAUACCAGGGCUGUGGUGUGGGCACCGCCGUGUGAGUGAGACAGCAGCCUCAGCCCGUCCAGGUCACUGCAGAAGAGGAAAGCAGCCCCCACAGGCCCCACAGUGGUGCUCGCCUUUCUCCACCCCCCAGUCUUUCCUCUCCACCCCUCAGCUCCAAACAGCUGGAGGUCAGGUCGGGGAGACGGGCGUCCAUUCCCGAAAUUACAUAGCAGGGCCUGGAGACAGGAGAUGCCGCCGGCCAGACCACCAUCAGUCACUAAUGAGGGAUGGGCAGUCGGAACUGCCCAGUUUCUGAGUUACAGAAGCCGGGGGUGGGGGGCUGCCAGACUAGUAAAACUGACCUUGUUGGCGGAAUCGCUCACGGCUUUUCUGUUGAUGAACAGAGUCCAGCUCUCCCACGGGUGGCUGUGAUCCUUCUUCCUGGGGAGUCCUGCUGUCCCUGACUAGGGGCACCUGCCCACCUGUCAGCUGCUCCUCCCUCGGCUGGUCCUCCUGGGCUCUGAUGGCCCCAACAUUUCUAGCUCUUCUCACCCAUAGUGCCCCAAGCUUCAUGCAGCUGCGGCAGGUACUGUGCCCGUCUGCCUGGCUUUUGUGUGUUUGUGUCUUGACUCUAUAACCCGUGCACACGGACUGGGCUGUGGUGUAGUGGGGAUGGCAGGAGCCCUGGGAACAUGCGGGCUGGGCAAGGUGAGGCAGGCUGAUUGCUGUGGCUCCCCCACCACCAGCCCCAGCCACAACAAACUGACAAAGGAAGAGGACAGUGGUACCCUGGAGCCCUGGGGUCAGAGAGAGGAGGACAAAGCAGGUGUGUAGCCCAGGGAAUGACAGCACCCCUUCCGAGAAGACAGGGAGGGUGCAGACAUGGCCAGGUUCUGAGCUAGAAAACUGUCAGCAGGGGGCUGAAGCUGAGGAUAGUCAUUGCCAAGGAACAGCCUCCGUCACAGAGGAGACGCACAGAUGCGGUGACGAGGGAGGGAUGCGGGGCUGGUGACCGCUGGGAACGGAUGUGUGAGGCAGAGUCUCCAGGCAUGGUCUGUGGGGCGGUUUGAUGAUACUAGAACAUCUCAGAGUAGAAGGACGUCCCGACCUGCAGACUGGAAAGCCCCCAGAGCUCCCGGCAGGACGUAUGAGGGCCAGCCCACACCCAGGUCUGUCCUGAUACAACUGAACGCCACAGUGUCUUAGCUCCUUUACUGUUGCUAUCAAGAAACACCUGAGGCUGGGAAAUUUAUGAAGAAUCAUGAGGUAAUUUGUAUAUUUGUCCACACUAAACCUCAUGUUGAAUUGUAAACCCCAAGGCUGGAGGUGGCUGGGUCAUGGGGGUGGAUUUCUCAGGAAUGUUUAGUACCAUCCCCUUGGUGCUGUCCUUGAGAUAGUGAGUUCUCCUGAGAUCUGGUUAUUUAAAAAGUGUGGGGCACCUCUCUCUCUCGCUCACUCGCUCGCUCGCUCCUGCUCUGGCCAUGUGACGUGCCCGCUCCCCCAUUGCCUUUCACCAUGAUUGGAAGCUUCCGGAGGCCUCCCCAGAAGCUGAGCAGAGGCCAGCACCAUGCCUCCUGUAAAGCCUGCAGAACCAGGAGCCAAGUAAACCUCUUUUCAUUAUUUAUUUAUUUAUUUAUUUAUUUAUUUUGACACAGGGUCUCGCUCUGUUGCCCAGGCUGGAGUGCAGUGGCGUGAUCUCGGCUCACUGCAACCUCUGCCUCCUGGGCUCAGGUGAUCCUCCCACCUCACCCUCCUGAGUAGCUGGGACUACAGGCACACGCCACCAUACCUGGCUAAUUUUUCAUAUUUUUUGUAGACAUGGGGUCUUACUGGCCCAGACUGGUCUCAAACUUCUGAGCUCAAGUGAUCCAUCCACCUUGGCCUUCCAGAGUGCUGGGAUCACACGCAUGAGCUACCAUGCCGGCCCUCUUUUCUUUUAAAAUUGCCCAGUCCUAAGUAUUUCUUUAUAGCAAGGCAACCACAGCCUAACACAGCUCACGAUGCUGAGGUCUCAAAAGUUCAAGAUCGGGCGUCUGCCUCUAGUGAGGGCCUUGCUGCCGCUGCCUCCACUCAUGGCAGAAGGUGAAGGGCAGCUGGAGUGUGUGCAGACCGUGUGCGAGAGGGAGCUGGAGGAGUAGGGAAGUACAGGCCUUUUUUUUUUUUUUUAAGAUGGAGUCUCGCUCUGUUGCCCAGGCUGGAGCGCAGUGGCGCAAUGCCGGCUCACUGCAACCUCCGCCUCCCGGGUUCAAGCGAUUCUCCUGCCUCAGCCUGCUGAGUAGCUGGGAUUAGAGGCAUGCGCCACUAUGCCCGGCUAAUUUUUGUAUUUUUGUAGAGACGGGGUUUCACCAUGUUGGUCAGGCUGAUCUUGAACUUCUGACCUCGUGAUCCGCCCGCCUUAGCCUCCCAAAGUGCUGAGAUUAUAGGCAUGAGGCACCGUGCCGGCCGUGCAGGUGUUUUUAAAAGCACCUCUUGCUGGAACUAGUAGGAGUGAAAACUCACUCAUUACUAAGAGGACAGCACCAAACUGUUCGUGAGGAAUCUGCCCCCAUGACCCAGACACCUCCAACACUGGGGCUCAGAUUUCAACCUGAGGUUUGAAGGGGACCAACACCCAAACUAUAGAAACAGAGAAAGAGGAAAGUUUACAGAUACCCAUUUAGAAAGAAUCUGCUAACAAAGGGAAAGAAUCAGGCUGGGCGCGGUGGUUUAUGCCUGGAAUCCCAACACUUUGAGAGGCCAAGGUGGGUGGAUCACCUGAGGUCAGGAGUUUGAGACCAGCCUGGCCAGCAUGUGAAACCCUGUCUCUACUAAAAAUGCAAACAUUAGCCAGGCGUAGUGACGUGCACCUGUAGUCCCAGCUACCCAGGAGGCCAGGCAAGAGAAUUGCUGGAGUUCAUGAGACAGAGGUUGCAGUGAGCAGAGAUCCUGCCACUGCACUCCAGCCCAGGCAACAAGAGCGAGACUGUGUCUCAAAAACAAACAAACAACAACAACAAAAGGAAAGAAUCAGACUGGCUUGGGACUCUGCUGUCCCCUGCCCGUGACCUCCCAAAAGCGUGUGUUAGAGACUGACCUGCCUAGUGCGUCAGUGGAGGGGGCACUUUGGAGAGGGGCUUGGAUCGUGAGGCCCCGCCCUCGUGAAUGGCUCAGUGCCUUGUGAAAGGGCUUGAUGGAGGGAGUUUGGUCCCUUUUCCCCUUUUGUCUCUCUGCUGUGUGAGGACACCAUGUUCCUCCCCUCUGGAGGAUGCUGUAACAAGCUGUCAUCUCGGGAGGAGACACCAGGCCCUGACCAGACGCUGAACAUGCCAGCACCUUCAUCUUGGACUUUCCAG